rnacentral:rRNA from 1 species
UACGAAGGGGGCUAGCGUUGUUCGGAAUUACUGGGCGUAAAGCGCACGUAGGCGGAAUGUUAAGUCAGGGGUGAAAUCCUGGAGCUCAACUCCAGAACUGCCUUUGAUACUGGGAAGCUCGAGUCCGGAAGAGGUGAGUGGAACUCCGAGUGUAGAGGUGAAAUUCGUAGAUAUUCGGAAGAACACCAGUGGCGAAGGCGGCUCACUGGUCCGGUACUGACGCUGAGGUGCGAAAGCGUGGGGAGCAAACAGG